GUAAGGAAUAUUGGACAAUGGGCGCAAGCCUGAUCCAGCCAUGCCGCGUGAAGGAUGAAGGCCCUAUGGGUUGUAAACUUCUUUUAGCAGGGAAAAAACCCCCCGAUGCGUUGGGGGCUGAUGGUACCUGCAGAAUAAGCAUCGGCUAACUCCGUGCCAGCAGCCGCGGUAAUACGGAGGAUGCAAGCGUUAUCCGGAUUUAUUGGGUUUAAAGGGUGCGUAGGCGGAUGAAUAAGUCAGUGGUGAAAGCCUGCAGCUUAACUGUAGAAUUGCCAUUGAUACUGUUCGUCUUGAGUACAGCUGAGGUGGGCGGAAUAUGACAUGUAGCGGUGAAAUGCUUAGAUAUGUCAUAGAACACCGAUUGCGAAGGCAGCUCACUAAACUGUCACUGACGCUGAGGCACGAAAGCGUGGGGAGCAAACAGGAUUAGAAACCCCGGUAGUCC
rnacentral:rRNA from 1 species